CCUCGACUCAUGCUUCAAGAGCAGUUUCACAAUAACGGGGAAAAGUCAAGAAUGCCAGAGAAACGGGUGCCGGUCAGGCAAGGGAGUCAUCCCAGGGCUUACAGAACGCUCUUCAUUUUCCAAAGCGUGUCCCCAAGCUGCAUCUCAUCCCACCGAAGGACAUCAGGACACAGGCCACGCUAGGAUUCAGACAGGGACCUGGCAGAAAUGGGAAGAGGCUGUCUAAAGCACCUGGUCCUUCUCUCUCUCCUCUGGACCAUCACGAGCCGGAAGGACAGCAUCACACGGACCCCCGGAAGGAGAUGCCACUGAAGAGGGUUGUGCGACCCCAGACAUCCUUCCAAGCACAGACCACGCACAGGGUACCCAGUUUCCUUCUGGCGGCUCGAUUUUUUUUCUUUGUUUUUAUGAAAAUGAAAUGAAAAUUUAAAUUACACACCGGGCUCACAUUAUAUUUUGAUUGCAGAGUGGCAACACAGCGUAUUUAUUAAAAUCAACAUCUCAGAAGCACCCCAGGAAUCUGCAUGGUUAACAAGCAGCCAGGUGACUGAGCUCACUGUCAUUUGGGGACACCCUUUGAAGAAGCAGACAGUGACCCGAUCCAUGAGUCAGAACACCAAGAUUCUACACUUUGCUCAGCUCCUCUUCCUACCUGGGCAUCAGUCGCCUCAUCCACAGAAUGAAGGGCUUGGAUUGGACCUGGAAAGACGUUUGAUUUAAUGCAUCCAAUGCCAUGGAUUACACACUGAUUGCAUGUCUAUCAACCCAUGGACCAGCAGAGACCCCCAGACACUGAGUGGACCCACAUGGAAAACAGAUUCAGGCCAGUGUGACCUUAGGAAGGCAUUCCCGGUCCCAGGUACUACAGAGGACUCUGAAAGGACAGGUCACCUGGGGGAGUCCCAGGGGAUGGCAGCUGACUCCCGCUAAACCAGACAGAACCUACCUAUGUCAACAUCACCAUCUCUGCCACCAACUGACCAAGGACCUGCUGCAUGUAAAGCACAGCCCCUCGGCAGGUCCAAGAGCAAACUCACACCCUCAGGCUGCCCUGAAAGUGUCCAAGAUUCCAUGGACCAACCAGUGGCAGAACCCAGCCCACCCCAGGGCAGGUCACUUGAUCCAACCCACCCACCCAUUCAGCCAGAAGAAUUUCUUUUCAAAUAGAGAGGGGGGAAACCAAUCUUUUUUUUUUUUUUUUACUUUAUAGAACUAUCAAUUUCACCUAAGAGGGCGCUAACAAAAGUUACCAAUCCAGUCUUUUUUUUUUUUUAUUUCAGCAUAUUUUGGGGGUACAAAUGUUUAGGUUACAUAUUUUGUCUUUGUCC